rnacentral:tRNA from 1 species
GGAGGCGUGGCAGAGUGGUCGAAUGCGGCGGUCUUGAAAACCGUUGUCCCUUCACGGGGACCGUAGGUUCGAAUCCUACCGCCUCCGCCA